rnacentral:rRNA from 1 species
UUUAUUUGAUGGUACCUACUUACUCGGAUACCCGUAGUAAUUCUAGAGCUAAUACGUGCGUACAUCCCGACUUCUGGAAGGGACGUAUUUAUUAGAUAAAAGGCCGACCGGGCUUGCCCGACUCGCGGUGACUCAUGAUAACUUCACGAAUCGCAUGGCCUCGCGCCGGCGAUGUUUCAUUCAAAUUUCUGCCCUAUCAACUUUUGAUGGUAGGAUAGAGGCCUACCAUGGUGGUAACGGGUGACGGAGAAUUAGGGUUCGAUUCCGGAGAGGGAGCCUGAGAAACGGCUACCACAUCCAAGGAAGGCAGCAGGCGCGCAAAUCACCCAAUCCUGACACAGGGAGGUAGUGGCAAUAAAUAACAAUACCGGGCCUUUGGUCUGGUAAUUGGAAUGAGUACAACCUAAACACCUUAACGAGGAUCAAUUGGAGGGCAAGUCUGGUGCCAGCAGCCGCGGUAAUUCCAGCUCCAAUAGCGUAUAUUUAAGUUGCUGCAGUUAAAAAGCUCGUAGUUGGAUUUCGGGUGGGGCCUGCCUGUCCGCCGUUUCGGUGUGCACUGGCCGGGCCCACCUUGUUGCCGGGGACGAGCUCCUGGGCUUUAUUGUCCGGGACUCGGAGUCGGCGAGGUUACUUUGAGUAAAUUA